rnacentral:lncRNA from 1 species
GAAAAUUUUCAGUAAAGUCCGAUGUAUUCAGCUUUGGUGUAAUAUUGUUGGAGAUUAUAAGUGGGAAGAAAAGCAAUGGCUUCCAUCAAGAGGAUCCUUCCCUAACCUUGAUAGGACAUGUGAGCGAUAGAAACUCUUGAUUUGUUAACUUCUCAACAAAAUAAUUUUACUGAAAGUUUAUUUCAUGCAUGGUGAUGCUAUGAACAAAGGUGUGGGAGCUAUGGCAAGAAGACAGAGCAAUGGAGAUAGUUGACUCAACAUUAAAGGAAUCAUACAAUUCCCAUGAAGUGUUGAAAUGUAUUCACAUUGCACUCUUGUGUGUGCAAGAAGAUGCUGUGGACAGACGAACUAUAUCAGCAAUCAUUGUCAUGUUAGAUAGUGAAAUCUCUCUUCCUUGUCCAAAACAACCAGCUUUCAUUUUCAGAACUUCUUGCAACAGUUCACCAAUAUGGGAAGGACCAAGUUCUGUCAAUGAAAUGUCGAUCACUGAAACUGUAGCUCGCUAAUUGAAGCAUACUUUCUCUCAUAGACUAAGCUAACUAGAAUUAAGGGACUAAAUCAUUCGAUUUUUUAAAUUAAGGGACCAUUUUGCUAUUGGUAGUAGACAAAAACCCAUCAGUAAUAUACAAAUUUCACAGGUACAGACAUUUGCUCACUGAUACAUUCAUCUCAUCAUGAAUAAAAAGCGAAGAGCAACUAAAAUAAGACAAAACCCAUUAAAAACUCACAAUUGGGGUCCUGUUUUCUAACUAAUGAGAUGCUUUUCAGCUGAAUAGAGAUCCAAAAGCACUAAAACUAACUUCAAAAUUAGGAACCCAUGGAAAAGUAAAAAGCAGAAAAUUACCUGUGAAGCGAUUGGCACAUAUGAGAUAUCCAGAGGCUCCAUCAGGAAGUGUUUAGAGAGGAAAUUGGAUGAUAUAUAUAUAAAAUGAUAGUUUUUGACACAAAAUAACAUGAACUUAUAAUAUGACCUCAUCGCAACUUCAAAAGGUACUUUUCAAUUUGUCUUCAAGGCUUUGUACUAAAGAAAUAUUUAAAGAAUAAAUAAAUUUUGUUAGAUUUGAAAUAGGGAACUUUUGAAUUGUUAAAAACGCAUGCCUGACUUUGAUAGCCUCAGGGAUGCCAAGUCUAAAUUGGAAUAUUUGGUUUAGGUGGCGUGAAUUAUAAAUCUAGAGCACAGAAUUGGUCAACAAUCCCAAUUUCACAUAAUUAUUGAUUAUAUCGAUGUAGUUGACACAAAAUUAUAUUACAAUUGACUUACUAAAAAACUAAAUUAAUUAAGAUCGAUUCGUGAAUAUGUGAUUCUACAAUUAUUUUUUAAAAAGUUUUACUCUAUAAUUGAAAGGAUGAAUUUUAAUGAAAAACUAAAAUGUACAUUGAUUGAAUUUUUUUUAUUAAUAAAAUUAAAUAUUAUCUAAUCAGACUCUUAAUCAAAUUGUUAUUAUGUAAUUAUAUUUAUAUUUUACUGAUUAUUGUAUUAUAUUAUAUAUAUAUAUUAGUAAAGUGAUAAUAAUUUUUAUAUUUAAAUUUAAAUUAACAUUAUAUAUAUAUAUAUAAAAUCAAAUGCAUGUAAAAAAUUUUCUCCUAUAUGCAUUUGUCUUAUAAAUAAGUCAAAAUGUCAAAAUUUCUCCAUUUCCAAUAAAAUUUCAAAUUGGUGGGGACUCAUAUUUCUUUGAAGACUCAGAAAACUGACAACUGCACCAAAAGAAUUUUAUAAAUAUGCAACAGUCGUAAUAAAACUCGGAAAAUUGCCAAAACCCGUAUAUACUAGCGUUGGCUUUACAAAGAUCAACUCUUCAUGGAUGCUAAAACAAUUCGUCUCUAUUUUGCUUUACUUGUACUCCACAGAUUAACACUUUCUACUUCCACAGACACCAUCAGCAUUAGCCAAACCUUCAGAGAAGGAGACCUUCUGGUUUCCAAACAAAACAAGUUUGCACUGGGAUUUUUUAGCCCUGGCAAUUCCAGCUAUAGAUAUCUUGGAAUUUGGUUUUAUAAGAUAUCAUUUCAAACUGAUACUGUUGUGUGGGUGGCCAACAGGGACAAUCCAAUCACUGGUUCUGCAGGUUUUCUCUCCAUCAACAAAUAUGGCAACCUUGUUCUCUAUGGUAAUAAAGAAGAAAAGUUUCCAAUAUGGUCUGCAAAUGUUUCAGUGGAUUUAGCAAAUACUUGUGUAGCUCAGCUCUUUGAUUCAGGAAACUUUGCUCUCUUCCAAGGUUCAAGAAGAGUAAUUGUAUGGCAGAGCUUUGAUCAUCCUACUAAUACCUUGCUACCAGGAAUGCGGCUUGGGCUCGACAAGAGAACAGGUCUCAACCGGUUCCUGAAUUCCUGGAAAUCAACAGAUGAUCCUGGAAUCGGUGACUACUCUCUGAAGCUCAACCCAGUUGGCUCACCAGCAUUUUUUCUGUACGAUGGUUCCAAACCUUACUGGAGAGGCACGCCAUGGCCGUGCGGAAGACCAGAUAUAUUCAACUACAGCUACGUUAAUAGUGAAGAGGAAAUAUUCUUUUCCUACUCUCAUGACGACAGCUCUGUUCUCUUCCAAUUGAUGGUCCAUGAAUCAGGAACGCUUCUGUGGGUUUCAAGGCGUGAAAGUGAUGCUAAUUGGAAGGAGUUCUGGUCAGCCUCCAAGUAUCGUUGUGACUCUUAUGGACGCUGCGGUGCUAACAGUGUAUGCGAUCCUAAAAAUGUCAAUAUAUAUGAAUGUUCUUGUUUACCUGGUUACGAACCCAAGUUCCCAAGAAACUGGUUUCCGAUGAGAGAUGGAUCGGGUGGCUGUGUUAGAAAGCGAUUGAAAUCUUCAUCAGUGUGUGGGCAAGGGGAAGGGUUUGUGAAAGUGCCUCAAGUUAAGAUUCCUGAUACUUCAACAGCAGUUUGGGUGAAUAUGAGUAUGUCCCGUGUGGACUGUGAACAAGAAUGCUACAAAGAUUGUUCAUGCUCUGCCUAUGCCAGCAUAAAAAUUCCAGGGGAAGCUGUUGCCUGCUUGGCUUGGUAUGGGGAUUUGAUGGACAUAGUGGAUCUUAUGGAUCAUAGCGGCUACGAUAUUUAUGUUCGAGUUGAUGCAAUUGAAUUAGGUAUCACAUUCAUUGCUCUGCACUAGUUUUCUCAAUUGCUCUGUUAUUCCUGCCUAGAUAGCUCCAUCACACUUUUGAACUUUAGCAGCUGAGAUUGAGAGAUCAAAUGGUUUUCUUGAAAUGAAGGGGAUGCUGGCUUUUCUGGUAGUUUCAGUUUCGUCAGCAUGGUUUGUCAUCAUCUUAUUUGUCUACUUGUGGCUGAGGAAGAGAAAGAAAAGAGGCAAGUAAUUAAUGAAAUGUCUCAUUUUCCACAAUAUUUUUUAUAAUCAUUUCAAUUUGUGUUGUUCAAAAACAGUAAAGAACAAAUCCAACAGGAGAUUGUUUGAUUCUAUAAAUGGUCCACACUAUCACAAAGAUAAUUUUGAAGCGGAUGACAUCCAGACAAGCAGGAGUCAUACAGACUUAGCAUUUUUCAACCUUAGCACCAUAUCUGCUGCCACUGAUAAUUUUUCUCAAGCUAACAAGAUUGGACAAGGUGGCUUUGGUUCUGUUUAUAAGGUAGAAUUUAACUCUCUAUCCAAUAUCUAAAAAUUGAAAUUCUUCUCAAUUUGAUUUGUUCCUUUUCACAUGGUGUUCUGUGUGAAAACAAAUUCAGACAUAGGUGUAAUCUAGCAAACAUGUUUUUGCAGGGUCAGCUAACUAAUGGAAAGGAGGUUGCUGUAAAAAGGCUAUCAAAAAAUUCGGGGCAAGGAGCAGAAGAAUUUAAAAAUGAAGCUAUGUUGAUAGCCAAGCUUCAACAUAGGAAUCUUGUGAAACUUUUAGGAUGUUGCAUUCAGGAAGAAGAGCGAAUUUUGAUUUAUGAAUACUUGUCAAAUGGAAGUUUGGACUUGUUUCUCUUUGGUGAGUUUUCUAAUUUUUCUAUUGCUUUGUUGGUUUCCUAAUUGGAUCUCCUCUACGAGGAUUCGAUUAAGAUAUACAAAUUAUAUAUAUUUUUUAACACUAACUUAAUAAAAAUUAUUAAAAUUUUAAAGAUACAACAAGAAGUUCAUUCUUGAAUUGGAGUAAACGUUACAAAAUUAUAGUUGGAAUCGCACGUGGAAUCUUAUAUCUUCACCAAGACUCAAGGUGGCGAAUCAUCCAUAGAGACUUAAAAAGCAGCAACAUCCUCUUAGAUGCAGAGAUGAAACCAAAAAUAUCAGAUUUUGGAACCGCUAGAAUACUUGAAGAUGACCAGAUACAACACAAGACACAUAGAGUUGUUGGGACAUAGUAAGUAUUCAAGUAAAGAUUGCCCUUAUCACUCAACAUCAAACAGAUUGCUAUAAAAAACCAAUUCUCUACUUAACAUGUGCAUUCUUUUAUUUUGCAGUGGCUACAUGUCGCCAGAGUAUGCCGUGUUAGGAAAAUUUUCAGUAAAGUCUGAUGUAUUCAGCUUUGGUGUAAUAUUGUUGGAGAUUAUAAGUGGGAAGAAAAGCAAUGGCUUCCAUCAAGAGGAUCCUUCCCUAACCUUGAUAGGACAUGUGAGUGAUAGAAACUCUUGAUUUGUUAACUUCUCAACAAAAUAAUUUUACUGAAAGUUUAUUUCAUGCAUGGUGAUGCUAUGAACAAAGGUGUGGGAGCUAUGGCAAGAAGACAGAGCACUGGACAUAGUUGAUUCAACAUUAAAGGAAUCAUACAAUUCCCAUGAAGUAUUGAAAUGUAUUCACAUUGCACUGUUAUGUGUGCAAGAAGAUGCAAUGGACAGGCCAACAACAUCAGCAAUCAUUGUCAUGUUGGAUAGUGAAAUCACUCUUCCUUGUCCAAAACAACCUGCUUUCAUUUUCAGAAAUUCUCGCAACAGUUCACCAAUAUGGGAAGGACCAAGUUCUGUCAAUGAAGUGUCGAUCACUGAAACUGUAGCUCGCUAAUUGAAGCGAACUUGCUCUCAUAGACUUAGCUAAUUUUACUUGUAAAUGAAUUGAAGCAAACUGCCGUCAAAUUGGCGGGGACUCAUAUUUCUUUGAAGACUCAGAAAACAGACAACUGCACCAAAAGAAUUUUAUAAAUAUACAACAGUCGUAAUAAAACUCGGAAAAUUGCCAAAACCCGUAUAUACUAGCGUUGGCUUUACAAAGAUCAACUCUUCAUGGAUGCUAAAACAAUUCGUCUCUAUUUUGCUUUACUUGUACUCCACAGAUUAACACUUUCUACUUCCACAGACACCAUCACCAUUAACCAAACCUUAAGAGAAGGAGACCUUCUCGUUUCCAAACAAAACAAGUUUGCACUAGGAUUUUUUAGCCCUGGCAAUUCCAGCUAUAGAUAUCUUGGAAUUUGGUUUUAUAAGAUAUCAUUACAAACUGAUACUGUUGUGUGGGUGGCCAACAGGGACAAAGCAAUCAAUGGUUCUGCAGGUUUUCUCUCCAUCAACCAAUAUGGCAACCUUGUUCUCUAUGGUAAUAGAGAUGAAAAGUUACCAAUAUGGUCUACAAAUGUUUCAGUGGAUUUAGCAAAUACUUGUGUAGCUCAGCUCUUUGAUUCAGGAAACUUUGUUCUCAUCCAAGGUUCAAGAAAAAUAAUUGUAUGGCAGAGCUUCGAUCAUCCUACUAAUACCUUGCUACCAGGAAUGCGGCUUGGGCUCGACAAGAGAACAGGUCUCAACCGGUUCCUGACUUCCUGGAAAUCAACAGAUGAUCCUGGAAUCGGUGACUACUCUCUGAAGCUCAACCCAGUUGGCUCACCAGUAUUUUUUCUGUACGAUGGUUCCAAACCUUACUGGAGAGGCACGCCAUGGCCGUGCAGAAGACCACCAGAUAUAUACAACUACAGCUACGUUAAUAGUGAAGAGGAAAUAUCCUAUUCCUACUCUCAUGACGACAGCUCUGUUCUCUUCCAAUUGAUGGUGCAUGAAUCAGGAACGCUUAUGUGGGUUUCAAGGCGUGAAAGUGAUGCUAAUUGGAAGGAGUUCUGGUCAGCCUCCAAGUAUCGUUGUGACUCUUAUGGACGCUGCGGCGCUAACAGUGUAUGCGAUCCUAAACAUGUCAACGUAUUUGAAUGUUCUUGUUUACCUGGAUAUGAACCCAAGUUCCCAAGAAACUGGUUUCCUAUGAGAGAUGGAUCGGGUGGCUGUGUUAGAAAGCGAUUGAAAUCUUCAUCAGUGUGUGGGCAAGGGGAAGGGUUUGUGAAAGUGCCUCAAGUUAAGGUUCCUGAUACUUCAACAGCAGUUUGGGUGCAUAUGAGUAUGUCCCGUGUGGACUGUGAACAAGAAUGCUACGAAGAUUGUUCAUGCUCUGCCUAUGCCAGCAUAAAAAUUCCAGGGAAAGAUGUUGCCUGCUUGGCUUGGUAUGGGGAUUUGAUGGACAUAGUGGAUCUUAUGGAUCAUAGCGGCUACGAUGUUUAUGUUCGAGUUGAUGCAAUUGAAUUAGGUAUCACAUUCAUUGCUCUGCACUAGUUUUCUCCAUUGCUCUGUUAUUCCUGCCUAGAUAGCUCCAUCACACUUUUGAACUUUAGCAGCUGAGAUUGAGAGAUCAAAUGGUUUUCUUGAAAUGAAGGGGAUGCUGGCUUUUCUGGUAGUUUCAGUUUCGUCAGCAUGGUUUGUCAUCAUCUUAUUUGUCUACUUGUGGCUGAGGAAGAGAAAGAAAAGAGGCAAGUAAUUAAUGAAAUGUCUCAUUUUCCACAAUAUUUUUUAUAAUCAUUUCAAUUUGUGUUGUUCAAAAACAGUAAAGAACAGAUCCAACAGGAGAUUGUUUGAUUCUAUAAAUGGUCCACACUAUCACAAAGAUAAUUUUGAAGCGGAUGCCAUCCAGACAAGCAGGAGUCAUACAGACUUGGCAUUUUUCAACCUUAGCACCAUAUCUGCUGCCACUGAUAAUUUUUCUCAAGCUAACAAGAUUGGACAAGGUGGCUUUGGUUCUGUUUAUAAGGUAGAAUUUAACUCUCUAUCCAAUAUCUAAAAAUUGAAAUUCUUCUCAUUUUGAUUUGUUCUUAUCUUGUUUACAUGGUGUUCUGUGUGAAAACAAAUUCAGACAUAGGUGUAAUCUCGCAAACAUGUUUUUUCAGGGUCAGCUAACUAAUGGAAAGGAGGUUGCUGUAAAAAGGCUAUCAAAAAAUUCGGGGCAAGGAGCAGAAGAAUUUAAAAAUGAAGCUAUGUUGAUAGCCAAGCUUCAACAUAGGAAUCUUGUGAAACUUUUAGGAUGUUGCAUUCAGGAAGAUGAGCGAAUUUUGAUUUAUGAAUACUUGUCAAAUGGAAGUUUGGACUUGUUUCUCUUUGGUGAGUUUUCUAAUUUUUCUAUUGCCUUGUUGGCUUCCUAAUUGGAUCUCCUUUACGAGGAUACGAUUAAGAUAUACAAAUUAUAUAUAUUAUUUAACACUAACUCGAUAAAAAUUAUUAAAAUUUUAAAGAUAUAACAAGAAGUUCAUUCUUGAAUUGGAGUAAACGUUACGAAAUCAUAGUUGGAAUCGCACGUGGAAUCUUAUAUCUUCACCGGGACUCAAGGUGGCGAAUCAUCCAUAGAGACUUAAAAAGCAGCAACAUCCUCUUAGAUGCAGAGAUGAAACCAAAAAUUUCAGAUUUUGGAACGGCUAGAAUACUCGAAGAUGACCAGAUAGAACACAAGACACAUAGAGUUGUUGGGACAUAGUAAGUAUUCAAGUAAAGAUUGCCCUUAUCACUCAACAUCAAACAGAUUGCUAUAAAAAACCAAUUCUCUCCUUAACAUGUGCAUUCUUUUAUUUUGCAGUGGCUACAUGUCGCCAGAGUAUGCCGUGUUAGGAAAAUUUUCAGUAAAGUCCGAUGUAUUCAGCUUUGGUGUAAUAUUGUUGGAGAUUAUAAGUGGGAAGAAAAGCAAUGGCUUCCAUCAAGAGGAUCCUUCCCUAACCUUGAUAGGACAUGUGAGUGAUAGAAACUCUUGAUUUGUUAACUUCUCAACUAAAUAAUUUUACUGAAAGUUUAUUUCAUGCAAGGCGAUGCUAUGAACAAAGGUGUGGGAGCUAUGGCAAGAAGACAGAGCACUGGACAUAGUUGAUUCGACAUUAAAGGAAUCAUACAAUUCCCAUGAAGUGUUGAAAUGUAUUCACAUUGCACUGUUAUGUGUGCAAGAAGAUGCAAUGGACAGGCCAACAACAUCAGCAAUCAUUGUCAUGUUAGAUAGUGAAAUCUCUCUUCCUUGUCCAAAACAACCAGCUUUCAUUUUCAGAACUUCUUGCAACAGUUCACCAAUAUGGGAAGGACCAAGUUCUGUGAAUGAAAUGUCAAUCACUGAAACUGUAGCUCGCUAAUUGAAGCAUACUUCCUCUCAUAGACUAAGCUAACUAGAAUUAAGGGACUAAAUCAUUCGAUUUUUUAAAUUAAGGGACCAUUUUGCUAUUGGUAGUAGACAAAAACCCAUCAAUAAUAUACAAAUUUCACAGGUACAGACAUUUGCUCACUGAUACAUUCAUCUCAUCAUGAAUAAAAAACGAAGAGAAACUAAAAUAAGACAAAACCCAUUAAAAACUCACAAUCGGUGUCAUGUUUUCUAAUUAAUGAGAUGCUUUUCAGCUGAAUAGAGAUCCAAAAGCACUAAAACUAACUUCAAAAUUAGGAACCCAUGGAAAAGUAAAAAGCAGAAAAUUACCUGUAAAGCGAUUGGCUCAUAUGUGAUAUCCAGAGGCUCCAUCAGCCACCGAGGAAGUGUUUUAUAGUGGAGUGGUGGCCAUGGAGAGUCAUCUGUGGAGGGUUUUUUUGCCAAAGUCAUCUGGAGAAUGCGAGAUUGUAGAUGACACAGAGAAUUGCACAAUGCUCAGAGCAAAUUUUUUGGAGGUAUUGUACUUAAGGGUUUUUUAAUUAAUCAACUUGUAACGGCUCCGCUCCAACAACAGCAAAUAACUUUUAGACCAAUGCAAGUUACUCACAUCUUAUCCCUUUGUGACUCAAUUCCAUAGUUUCUUCUUUUCCUUAAAUUUGACUUUUUCAUUUUCCUUCACCGUAUCAUGUUUUGCGUCAAUUGAUUAUUUAUAAAGAAAAAAAAAAUUUUUGUCCUAUUAAGAACUACAGAAAUAUUUCAAUCGUUACUUAUGAUUUCUGUAAGGUGGAGAUAUUUUUCACAUACAAUUCAAUUAAUUUUAAAAAUAUGCAAACAUCUUUAACAGAUUUAUGACAUCCUUUAAAGGAGUAUUUAUUAUAGAAUUAGAGUCAAAAAUAUAUCUAUUUCGAUUUUUUAAUAAUGUUGAUUUUAAAAAUAUAGAGAAUGGGGUCGUUGGUUGUACAAUUGAUUCCUGCUUGUUUGAAAGAAAUAUAAAGUAAUGAAAAUACUCUCCAUAUCCCUCUAACUUAUUCUAAUUUCUAAUUAAAGAUCUCUUCUGGUUAUUAUAACAAGACGUUGACUAAAUUGAUCGGGACUUUUGUUGACCACUAUAAAGAGUAUGAUAUGAAAAAUGGUUUAGUUAUGUUGCCGGACCCUAUGAGAGUUAAAGUUUAUUUGGACAUUUGGCAACUUUUGAAACGGCGGAAGAAGUUUGUUGGAGAUGAUGGUACUGUGUUUAGUGUGAAGUUUCAAUAUGAAAAAACAACUAUUUUUUGCUAUUUAUGUGGGAAAUUGGGUCAUGUGUAGGCUUUCUGUGACUUGUGGCUGAGGUUGAAGAAAGACGAUAUCAAGUUUGGUUGGGUAAUUUCCUCAGAGCACCUAUUCAUCAGAACAAGAGACCGACAAGCUUAUGGCUGCGUGAUUCUGGCAAUUCUAUUUCGCCAGAAUUUGUGUCAGGAUUGGCAUCAACUAGUAAUUUUGAAAACACUAAUUUGGCAGUAUAUAAUAGGCACUUCUCCUUAUUUGGCAAAAGUCAACCCAUUGUAAAUAAGGAGACCAUAUUAUAGACAUUGGCAAGAAUUAUGUGGGCCAAGGCAGUUCUGAUAAACUUGAUGAGGAGAUUGCAGUCCAAAUAAAUACCAAUGCUAAAAAAAGGACAAGAAACACUAAACAUAACAUUAUUAUAGGUUUAUGAUUAUUUUUCUUCAAAUUUUAUUGAUUCGAUUGUUUCGAAAGAUAAUAUUCAAUGAAUAUUUACUAGUUAUUAUGGGUUUCCGGAAUCGUAACGACGACGUCAAUCUUCAAGCUUUAUCUCAUAGAAGCUCUCUUCCGUGAUUUUGUUCUGAAAACUUUAAUGAUUUAUGCUCGAGAGAUGAGAAAGAAGAAGGAGAAUAUUUGUCAAAUUAUCUUAUGCAAGGGUUUAAGCAGGCACUUGAGAAACAUUUUUGCCAAAUUCUCUUAUGCAGGAGUUUGAUUUUGAAUGAUUAUAAAUUUUUGUUAGACUCUAGAACAAAUAUUUCUGUUAGAUGGAUUCGUCGUAAUACUACUCUAACUGCUCAUACUUUGACUAGAGAAUUUAUUAGAUAUAAUAGUCUCUCUAUUUGGGAUAAUAUCCCUCUUUAUUUGAUAAAAUUUUAUUAAUAUAAUCAAUAGUUUUGCUUUCAAAAAAAAACUUUUAGACCUAACCCUUUCCAUUUUAAUUUCCCAUGGAUGUAUUGUUAAGCCAGGAUUAUAUGGUUAAUGCAUUGGCGACUCACCUUGAUAUUAUUUUUUUUAAUAUUUAUUAGUCUCACAUAAUUUUUUAAUAUUGUAGCUCGAACUAGAGUGGGCAUGUUCAAAUUUAAAAAUACCGAUCGAAUUGAAUUAAUUUAAAAUUUUAAUUUGUUUUUUUAUUUAUUUCAAUUCGGUUCAGUUUUUAAUUUUAAAAAUUUCGAUUAUUUCGGUUCGGUUUGAUUUUAAUAAAAAAAUUUUAAAAAUCGAAUUGAACCGAUUAGUGAUAAUAAUAUAUUAUUUUAAAAAUAUAGAGAGAUUAGAUCAUAUUAAGAUUAAUAUAUUCUAAUUAAAUUUUAAAAUAUUAAAAUUCAAACUGAUUAAACCGAAUCGAAUUGAAUCAGACUGAUUUAGUUCGAUUCGAUUUUUGAUCAAAAUCAGUUCUGUUCAAUUCUCAUAAAAAAAUUAAAAUUUCAAUUUUCAGUUUAUUUAAUUUAGUUCAGUUUUAAACCAAAUCGACCAAAUGGUCACUCUAUCUUCAACGUCAAUUAUAACGGCACCAUUUUUAACUGACUUAAACGCCUUUUUUCCACUUAAUUAAUGAAUUUAAAAUGUUUUGAAAAUUUUGUUUUAAAAUUUAUAAAUAACUCAUCCAAACUAAUUUUAUUUUAAAAUUGAAUCUAGCCAUUCAAUUUAAGUUGAUGAAUUGAAUCAGUCAGUCCCAACAUUUGAAAAAGUUACCUGGAAUUCUCCUAGUUGAUGAUAUAUAUAUAAGAUGAUUUCUCAUCCUUACCAAUUGGACUAACAUUUUUCCUUUUUCACAAAUUUAUUUUGUUAGAUUUGAAAUAUGGAACUUUUGAAUUGUAAAAAACACAUGCCUGAUACCUCAGGUAUGAAAAGUCUAAAUUGGGAUAUUUGGUUUAGUUGAGGGAGAAUUAUAAAUCUGGAGCAUGGAAUCGGUCAACGAUCUCAGCUUCCCAUAAUUAUUUUAUUUUAUUUUUAGUUAAAAUACGUUUAAAAAUUUAUAUUCAUUCCACCCACAAUUUAAAUACGAUGUAAAUACAUCUGAUUAAAUUUGAGAGAUCCUGUGUUCUACUUUCUCAAUUUAUUAUCUCUAUUUCAAUUAAAAAUAAUUUUAUGUCCAUUUUCUUUUUUUUUUCUUAUAUCACGAGUAUUUAGAGUGCAUGUGUCUAAAUUUACCGGCGUAUUUCAAAGAAAUUAUGUUAAUAAUAAAAAUAAGAAAAAAUAAUGUAUUUUUCAAAAUAGAAAACACAAUUAAUGUGUUUCCCAUAAGAGCAAAUUUCCUUAUCUUUAAUCUUAUAUAGUUAUUACUUCGAAAUUUAAGUAUUUUAGAAAUUUCAAUUCAUCAACAUAGAGCAUAUAUCAAUUUUUAUUUAAAUUUUAUAUUACAUAUUAAGAAAUUAAAAAGUAUCAAGUAUUUGGAGUGUGGACAACUUGAAAGGAAGCAUCCUAAUUAGUCCUUUAGAAAGAGACAGAAAAUGCCCACAAACACAACAUAAAGUUUUUCUUGUCUUUAGAAAGAUCAAUCAUUCAUGGAUGCUAAAAUACUUCAUUUGUUUUAUGCUUUGCUUAUACUCCACAGAUUCACAGCUUGCACUUCCACAGACACCAUCACCAUUAAUCAAAUCAUCAGAGAAGGUGACCUUCUGAUUUCCAAACAAAAUAAAUUUGCACUGGGAUUUUUCAGCCCUGGCAAUUCCAGCUAUACAUAUCUCGGAAUUUGGUUUCAUAGAGUACCAUUACAAACAGUUGUGUGGGUGGCCAACAGGGACAAUCCAAUCAAUGGUUCUGCAGCUGUUCUCUCCAUCAACCAAUAUGGAAACCUUGUUCUCUAUGGUGGCAGAGAUCAUAAGUUUCCAUUAUGGUCUGCAAAUGUUUCAAUGGAUGUAGCAGAUUCUUGUGUAGCUCAGCUCUUGGAUUCUGGAAAUUUCAUUCUGUUCGAAAGUACAAAUAGAAGAGUUCUAUGGCAGAGCUUUGAUUAUCCGACAAAUACCUUGCUACCCGGAAUGAAACUUGGGCUCGACCGGAGAACAGGCCUGAACCGGUUCCUGACAUCGUGGAGAUCUGCAGAUGAUCCUAGCACCAAUUACUACACAUAUAAGCUCAACCCAACUGGCUCGCCACAAUUUUUCUGUACAAGGGAUCGAAACCUUACUGGCGAAGCCGGCCAUGGCCUAUGAGAGAAAUACCAAAAACAUACAACUACAGCUUUGUUAAUAAUGAAGAAGAAAUAUACUUCUCCUACUCUCAUGAGGACAGUUCAGUUCUCCUCCGAAUGGUGGUGGAUUCACGAAUGGUGACGUGGGUUUCAAGCAAUGAUAGUGAUGGUAAAUGGACAGAGUUCUGGUCAGCAUCCGAGUAUCGUUGCGAUUCUUAUGGAAGCUGUGGUGCUAAUGGUAUGUGCGAUCCUAAACAUGUCAAUAUAUAUGAAUGUUCUUGUUUACCUGGUUACGAACCCAAGUCCUUCAGAAACUGGGUUCUGAUGAGAGAUGGAUCGGGUGGCUGUGUUAGGAAGCGAUUGAAAUCUUCAUCAGUGUGUGGGCAAGGGGAAGGGUUUGUGAAAGUGCCUCAAGUUAAGGUUCCUGAUACUUCAACAGCAGUUUGGGUGAAUAUGAGUAUGUCCCGUGUGGACUGUGAACAAGAAUGCUACAAAGAUUGUUCAUGCUCUGCCUAUGCCAGCAUAAAAAUUCCAGGGAAAGAUGUUGCCUGCUUGGCUUGGUAUGGGGAUUUGAUGGACAUAGUGGAUCUUAUGGACCAUAGCGGCUACGAUGCUUAUGUUCGAGUUGAUGCAAUUGAAUUAGGUAUCACAUUCAUUGCUCUGCACUAGUUUUCUCCAUUGCUCUGUUAUUCCUGCCUAGAUAGCUCCAUCACACUUUUGAACUUUAGCAGCUGAGAUUGAGAGAUCAAAUGGUUUUCUUGAAAUGAAGGGGAUGCUGGCUUUUCUGGUAGUUUCAGUUUCGUCAGCAUGGUUUGUCAUCAUCCUAUUUGUCUACUUGUGGCUGAGGAAGAGAAAGAAAAGAGGCAAGUAAUUAAUGAAAUGUCUCAUUUUCCACAAUAUUUUUUAUAACCAUUUCAAUUUGUGUUGUUCAAAAACAGUAAAGAACAAAUCCAACAGGAGAUUGUUUGAUUCUAUAAAUGGUCCACACUAUCACAAAGAUAAUUUUGAAGCGGAUGACAUCCAGACAAGCAGGAGUCAUACAGACUUAGCAUUUUUCAACCUUAGCACCAUAUCUGCUGCCACUGAUAAUUUUUCUCAAGCAAACAAGAUUGGACAAGGAGGCUUUGGUUCUGUUUAUAAGGUAGAAUUUAACUCUCUAUCCAAUAUCUAAAAAUUGAAAUUCUUCUCAUUUUGAUUUGUUCUCGUUCACAUGGUGUUCUGUGUGAAAACAAAUUCAGACAUAGGUGUAAUCUCGCAAACAUGUUUAUGCAGGGUCAGCUAACUAAUGGAAAGGAGGUUGCUGUAAAAAGGCUAUCAAAAAAUUCAGGGCAAGGAGCAGAAGAAUUUAAAAAUGAAGCUAUGUUGAUAGCAAAGCUUCAACAUAGGAAUCUUGUGAAACUUUUAGGAUGUUGCAUUCAGGAAGAAGAGCGAAUUUUGAUUUAUGAAUACUUGUCAAAUGGAAGUUUGGACUUGUUUCUCUUUGGUGAGUUUUCUAAUUUUUCUAUUGCCUUGUUGGUUUCCUAAUUGUAUCUCCGGAUGCGAUUAAGAUAUACAAAUUAUAUAUAUUAUUUAACACUAACUCGAUAAAAAUUAUUAAAAUUUUAAAGAUACAACAAGAAGUUCAUUCUUGAAUUGGAGUAAACCUUACCAAAGUUAUAGUUGGAAUUGCACUUGGAAUCUUAUAUCUUCACCAGGACUCAAGGUGGCAGAUCAUCCAUAGAGACUUAAAAGGUAGCAACAUCCUCUUAGAUGCAGAGAUGAAUCCAAAAAUUUCAGAUUUUGGAAUGGCUAGAAUACUCGAAGAUGACCAGAUACAACACAAGACACAUAGAGUUGUUGGGACAUAGUAAGUAUUCAAGUAAAGAUUGCCCUUAUCACUCAACAUCAAACAGAUUGCUAUAAAAAACCAAUUCUCUCCUUAACAUGUCGCCAGAGUAUGCCGUGUUAGGAAAAUCUUCAGUAAAGUCCGAUGUAUUCAGCUUUGGUGUAAUAUUGUUGGAGAUUAUAAGUGGGAAGAAAAGCAAUGUCCAUCAAGAGGAUCCUUCCCUAACCUUGAUAGGACAUGUGAGUGAUAGAAACUCUUGAUUUGUUAACUUCUCAACUAAAUAAUUUUACUGAAAGUUUAUUUCAUGCAUGGUGAUGCUAUGAACAAAGGUG